GGUCUGUCAUGUUUGGGUAAACAUUGUACAACAGGAGUUUUGGCAUCUUCCUGUUUAUUUUUUUUUGUGCGUCUCCUUUUUUUCUGUGUGACGUGUGUGCUUUUAUAUAUUUAUAUCUAUAUAGUCCUCGUGAAAACCCGCGUGGAGUAGCCGAGCGGCGACGUUUUUUUUUAAAAGGUAAGCUGUCGCUUUUGGAGAGAAAAGAAGAAUAGAUCUUGAGCUUGCGUGGAAUGACUGGCCCGACUGAAACAGGGGAAGAAAUGUGAAUGAUCCGCAGCAGAUCAACAAGGAGGUAGCGAAUGCCUUUUGGGACAAUCGGGCGACCCUGACACAAGUGCUUUUUCCACUUCCAAAUUGCCAGCUGUUCGUUGAUGUCUUUUCCAAGUAGCCUUUCUGCUCUUGCGAGUCUGAAGAGUUUGUCAGCAGAAUAUUUGACUGUCUAAGACAUCAUAACUAAUCUUGAGCCCACCGUUGUCCUGAGGUAUGAAGCAGUCAUUGGAUAUUGGCUCUCAGUAUUGAUUAGUCAUGCACACAUACAUCUUGAAUCUAAUGGAGACUGCACCACAUUACAAAGACAUCUACCAGCAGGAAUUAUUGAAGGAGGGAUUUGGCAAAAUCAGGACUGAAACCUGAGAGCCUGAAGAUUUUGUUCAUGGUGAAAGCUACCAAUACCAGCUCCAGCACUGGGACCAACACAGGCAGCAACAGAUACAGCGGCAAAGAACAUCUGAAAUAUCUGUGUCACACAAAGGAUGAAAAGUAACUGCUCUGAGUAAACCUCUUGUGGGUAAAAUGUAGGAAGCACAACAUAUUCAACAAUGUUUAAAUAGCUUCUGACCAUAUAUUUUUACUCCAUUUGGUCUUGGGAUGUGUGUGAUGCUAACCAGCCAAUCUUCCUUGGGCAUUUCUCAUAUCCCUGAUAGUAUGAUGAUUCAGUCAUUUAGCAUUGGGCUGGAGUAACGUGUAGACCAGAUUGGAUUGAAGUGAUGGGUUCCCCUCCUGCAAGGACAUGAGGUUUUAGAUUUAGAUUUUAGAUUUAGAUUACAGUGUGGAAACAGGCCCUUCGGCCCAACAAGUCCACACCGACCCG